AUAGCGUAUAUUAAAGUUGUUGCAGUUAAAAAGCUCGUAGUUGAAUUUUCGACCUCGGCCGGACGGUCUGCCUGUUUGGGUACGUACUGUCUUGGCUAGGUCUUUCCUUCUGGAGAGCCUAAGUGUCGUUAACUCGGCGCCUAGGGGAUCCAGGACUUUUACUUUGAAAAAAUUAGAGUGUUUAAAGCAGGCUUACGCUUGAAUACAUUAGCAUGGAAUAAUAGAAUAGGACUUUGGUUCUAUUUUGUUGGUUUCUAGGACCAAGGUAAUGAUUAAUAGGGAUAGUUGGGGGCAUUAGUAUUUAAUUGUCAGAGGUGAAAUUCUUGGAUUUAUGAAAGACUAACUUCUG
rnacentral:rRNA from 1 species